GAUUGAACGCUGGCGGCAGGCUUAACACAUGCAAGUCGAGCGGUAACAUUUCUAGCUUGCUAGAAGAUGACGAGCGGCGGACGGGUGAGUAAUACUUAGGAAUCUACCUAGUAGUGGGGGAUAGCACGGGGAAACUCGUAUUAAUACCGCAUACGUCCUACGGGAGAAAGGGGGCAACUUGUUGCUCUCGCUAUUAGAUGAGCCUAAGUCGGAUUAGCUAGAUGGUGGGGUAAAGGCCUACCAUGGCGACGAUCUGUAGCUGGUCUGAGAGGAUGAUCAGCCACACCGGGACUGAGACACGGCCCGGACUCCUACGGGAGGCAGCAGUGGGGAAUAUUGGACAAUGGGGGAAACCCUGAUCCAGCCAUGCCGCGUGUGUGAAGAAGGCCUUUUGGUUGUAAAGCACUUUAAGCAGUGAAGAAGACUCCUCGGUUAAUACCCGUGGACGAUGACAUUAGCUGCAGAAUAAGCACCGGCUAACUCUGUGCCAGCAGCCGCGGUAAUACAGAGGGUGCAAGCGUUAAUCGGAAUUACUGGGCGUAAAGCGAGCGUAGGUGGCUUGAUAAGUCAGAUGUGAAAUCCCCGGGCUUAACCUGGGAACUGCAUCUGAAACUGUCAGACUAGAGUAGGUGAGAGGGAGGUAGAAUUUCAGGUGUAGCGGUGAAAUGCGUAGAGAUCUGAAGGAAUACCGAUGGCGAAGGCAGCCUCCUGGCAUCAUACUGACACUGAGGCUCGAAAGCGUGGGUAGCAAACAGGAUUAGAUACCCUGGUAGUCCACGCCGUAAACGAUGUCUACUAGUCGUUGGGUCCCUUGAGGACUUAGUGACGCAGCUAACGCAAUAAGUAGACCGCCUGGGGAGUACGGCCGCAAGGUUA
rnacentral:rRNA from 1 species